AUUGAACGCUGGCGGCAGGCCUAACACAUGCAAGUCGAGCGGAUGAAGGGAGCUUGCUCCUGGAUUCAGCGGCGGACGGGUGAGUAAUUCCUAGGAAUCUGCCUGGCAGUGGGGGAUAACGUCCGGACACGGGCGCUAAUACCGUAUACGUUCUGAGGGAGAAAGUGGGGGAUCUUCGGACCUCACGCUAUCAGAUGAGCCUAGGUCGGAUUAGCUAGUUGGUGGGGUAAAGGCCUACCAAGGCGACGAUCCGUAACUGGUCUGAGAGGAUGAUCAGUCACACUGGAACUGAGACACGGUCCAGACUCCUACGGGAGGCAGCAGUGGGGAAUAUUGGACAAUGGGCGAAAGCCUGAUCCAGCCAUGCCGCGUGUGUGAAGAAGGUCUUCGGAUUGUAAAGCACUUUAAGUUGGGAGGAAGGGCAGUAGGUUAAUACCUUGCUGUUUUGACGUUACCAACAGAAUAAGCACCGGCUAACUUCGUG
rnacentral:rRNA from 1 species